rnacentral:rRNA from 1 species
GAGUUUGAUCCUGGCUCAGGACGGACGCUAGCGGCGCGCCUAAGGUAUGCAAGUCGAACGGACCGCAAGUUAGUGGCGAACGGUCGAGUAACACGUAGACAACCUGCCUCCGCAGUGGGGGAUAACAGCCCGAAAGCGUCUAAUACCGCAUGUGGCCUGAAAGUGAUGCUUUCAGUGCUAAAGGAGCAAUUCGCUGGGAGAUGGGUCUGCGGCCUAUCAGGUAGUUGGUGGGGUAACGGCCUACCAAGCCGACGACGGGUAGCUGGUCUGAGAGGAUGAUCAGCCGGACGGGGACUGAGACACGGCCCCGACUCCUUCGGGAGGCAGCAAUGAGGAAUCUUGCACAAUGGGCGAAAGCCUUGAUGCAGCGACGCCGCGUGGGUGAGGAAGUUCUUCGGAAUGUAAAGCCCUUUUACCGGGGACGAUUAAUUGACGGUACCCGGUGAAUAAGCCCCGGCUUAACUACGUGCCAGCAGCCGCGGUAAUACGUAGGGGGCGAGCGUUGUCCGGAUUUACUUGUGCGUAAAGAGCGCGUAGGCGGAAGCUUUAAGUGUUGGCCUUGAUAGCCCCCCGCUUCAACCUGGGAGGGUGGCUUCAUACUUGGCCUCUACACGGAAUAGAGCAAAGUGGAAUUCCGGGUGUAAGCGUUGAAAUUCCUUAGAGAUCCGGAAGGAACACCAGUGGCGAAGCCGGCUUUCUGGGUCCGCCCUCACGCUUAGGCGCGAAAGCUUGGCGAGCGAACCGGGAUUAGAUAACCCAGGUAGUCCACGCCGUAAACUAUUGUCACUAAAUGUGUGCGGUAUUCGACCUCCACACGUCGUCGCAGCUAACGCACUAAGUUGACCCGCCUGGGGAGUACGGCCGCAAGGUUGAAACUCAAAGGAAUUGACGGGGGCCCGCACAAGCGGUGGAGCAUGUGGAUUAAUACGUCACUAACCGUAGAACCUUACCCAGGCUUGACAUCUGUGGAAUCCCCUUGAAAGGGGGGAGUUGCCUCGCAAGAGGAAGCCACAAGACAGUUGUUGCAUGGCUGUCGUCAGCUCGUUGUCGUGAGAUGUUGGGUUAAGUCCCGCAACGAGCGCAACCCUCACCGUAUGUUGCCAGCGUAAAGUCGGGCACUCUUGCGGAACUGCCCGGGUAACCGGGAGGAAGGUGGGGACGACGUCAAGUCAGCAUGGCCCUUACGCCUGGGCUUCACACAUGCUACAAUGGCCGGUACAGAGGGCUCCGAUACCGCGAGGUGGAGGCAAUCCCAAAAAGCCGGUCUCAGUUCGGAUUGCAGGCUGCAACUCGCCUGCAUGAAGUUGGAAUCGCUAGUAACGGCCGGUCAGCUAAACGGCCGUGAAUACGUUCCCGGGCCUGUACACACCG